AAAAGUAAUUACCGUUUUCGAUCUUCUCUAGAGGGAAAAACCCCAUCGGCACUGCUGCUGUGUUUCUUCAUCAUUUUUAGCCGGCGGACUACUCCUCCAUUUGGUUCUUGUCUUUGGUUCAAAAUUUCAACUACAUGGCCGGCAACGAGGAGCCUCGUCCGAAUGCUCACCGACGGGAGAAACAGCCAGAUACCGGAGGGUGUUGAUCCUUUAGUAGGUCAUGUCAUCCUCGGAUGUAGUGGGCGAUCAAAUAUUUACGACACCACAACCGCAGGUUGGGGUGUCUUCUCAUGUUCUUGAUGCGGUAGCUGGGGAACAUGGCGUGCUUGCUAAGCCACAGAAGGGCUUGAUACUAGAUAUUGAAGGAAGGGAAAUUGUUGGGAUAGGUCGCCAGUUGAUGGCAGAGUACAUAUCUACCUCAUCUUUGUGGAAUGGCUGUCAGGUUUGAGUUGCUAUUGUUGAUGCUUGGGCUAGUGUCUUGAAUGACAGAGUAAAAGGAAGGAAACCAAAGGAACCUAUCCGAUUUUUUGCUUCCAUGUAGACUAUGACGCAGAUGGUGGAGACGUCAAGUAGCAAGGAAGAAAGACGUGGAAUGUGGGUGGUUUAGUGAUCGCCUCCGUGAAGACUAUGAUAUAACUCCGCACCGAUCUUGGGCAACCAUUGACAUGUUUCUUUUCCCACUGAGUGAUCGUGGUCACUACUACAUUAUAAGUGUGGAUUUGAAGAAGAUGAAGAUGGAUAUCAUUGAUAAUUGUCCUACAACUGCUACUAACAAGUCCAGAUAUGGCAAUGCUCCCACAGACUUGCAAGCAUUCUUUGCCUUAUUUUUUGUGGGUGUUAAUCUUCAUAAGCGGGCGGAUCGUGUUAGACGCUUGACGCCGAAUCGUAUGUAAAUGUAUUGGAGGGACGGAACCAUAUUGGAGGACAUUGGCAUUUAUACUAUGUCUACUUGGAGUCUUAUUUGGGUUAGGGUGUUUCAAGUUGGGAGUGUGGUAUAGUCAAAGGUGGCAGGAACAUAUUGAAUGAUUUGCGUAAGAAGUUCAUGCACGAUAUUUUGGUGUCCAACAUUAACACUCCCAAGCAUUUUGUAAUUCAACGUGUGUUGGAGUAUGAUUGUAGUUUGUUUGGUCAUGCUAGGUAACAUUCAUGGAAUGGUUGUUUUUUUGGGUGUGUUUAUAAACUUUAGAUAGUUGGUGGUUUUUGACUUGUAUAGUGCACCGUUUGGUUUUUUGGCUUUCGUUGUUCUAGUUUUGCGUUUUUUGUCCAGUGAAAAGCCUUUACUUUAGCAAUAGGGUGUGUGGUAGUGUACACUUAACGAAGUAAAUAUAAUUGGGUAGUACUAAUGCAUUGACCUUGUCGA